rnacentral:rRNA from 1 species
UACGGAGGGAGCUAGCGUUAUUCGGAAUUACUGGGCGUAAAGCGCACGUAGGCGGCUUUGUAAGUUAGAGGUGAAAGCCUGGAGCUCAACUCCAGAAUUGCCUUUAAGACUGCAUCGCUUGAAUCCAGGAGAGGUGAGUGGAAUUCCGAGUGUAGAGGUGAAAUUCGUAGAUAUUCGGAGGAACACCAGUGGCGAAGGCGACUGCCUGGACGAACAUUGACGCUGAGGUGCGAAAGCGUGGGGAGCAAACAGG